GAUGGAGUAUUCCUUUACAGAGGGUGCUUGUGUGUUAAUACAUGUUGAAGCUAGCUGUCUGUUUGUAGAUCUUUGUUUGAGUCCCCUCUACGGAAUAGUGAGGGAAGUCAGUUUGGCUGUGUAUCUAUGGUAACCUGUGAGAUCUUGUAUUUGCAUUAAUGAUAGUGAUCGAAGAAACAUACCCUAUAGCUAUAGAAGUUGAGCUGGUUGAUGAAUUAGAUUUAAAUUAUUCGUGCUGUGUCAUGUGAUCAUCAUGCUGUCAUCUCUUAUCUACUACAAGUGGAGACAUUGCAGAUUCCUAUAGCUACCUCAAGAUGUGAUUGAGAAUCAAACACUUAUAGCUAUAGCUAGCAGACAAACUUUUUAAUCGAACAAUCUAUUAAUUUUGCACAUCGCUCCCAUUAUUGACCAAAUUUCAAGUUUUACAUGAUCAAAGAAAAUUCAAAUGUAA